rnacentral:lncRNA from 1 species
CGCGUUCACCAGAACAAUCCGAGUGCAAUCCGAUUAAUUUGCGCUGAAACGCUGACAGUUUUUUUUACUAGUGAACGACUGACGUUUGACAUUCGAUUGAGAGUGUUCUGUGUUCCAUUUGUUUAUGUUUUUACUUUGUUUAUAUAAUUUAUAACCUAGACAGUUUUGUUUUUAAAUAAAACUGAAACUGUGUCUAAACUAAAAUGGAUAAUAUUCUUGAAGAAUUUUUGUUUGGGGACGAAAUUAGCAAAUGCCGUUAUACAUUUAGCAGAUGUACCUACCUCAAAUUAUUCCAGAAGGAUGAGAUGAAAUUAAAUAUAUAUAAACCAUAAUUCAAUAUCCAAUUUAAAGAACAUUUUCGUAUGUCCAGAACUACUUUCCAGGAACUAUUUAAUUGUAUUGGUCAUAUCCACCAAUUUGAAAACAGAAUAAUUCUAUUG